CGCACGCACCACUGGCUCCCUCGUGGCGCGCAUCGGGUACUUUCGCGCCCCUGUCGUGCGCGUCUAGCCGAGUGCAUACCUUCGUGACAACAUCUCCCGCCCGCGCGCCUCUUGGGUUUACCGGGCAUCUCUAGCGAGCCAUGCUCUCAUAAAGCGGCCGCCAUGUACGGCAUGCUUCUGGAGAGCGUGCAGCACUACGUGCGGCUCCAAUUCGGUGAGCCGCUGUGGGAGGCGGCGCUUGCGGAGCUGGGCCAGCACAAUUUUUCCACACACCUGGUGUACCCAGACGACUCCAUGACAAGGCUGGCCGACGCCUGUGCAAAGCGAGUUCCUGGAUGGAGCCGCGACACAUUCCUCUUCUUCUUCGGGCGAUGCUUUGUGCGCUUCUUCAGCCACUACGGCUACGACAAGUUGAUCCGGGCAUCUGGUCGUCACCUGCGAGACUUUCUUGCUGGCAUAGACAACCUGCACCACCAGAUCCGCUUCAGCUACCCGCGCAUGCGCAGCCCCUCGCUGCAGCUGCUGCAGGAGCACCGCGGCGGCGCGCUCCUCCUGUACCGCUCGUGCCGUCGAGACCUCCACUUCUACCUGGUCGGCCAGCUGGUGCAGGUGGCCAGCACCUUCUACGGCAUGCGCCUUCAGGUGCGCGUGCUGAGCCAGCGCAGUACACCGGAGGGUGCCCAGGCGCUGCUGCGGCUGAGCUUCGACAACGCCGCCUUCACGCUGAACGAGCAGCGGCGGCAGCGCGCACAGGAGGGCAUCUCGCUGCCCGACGUAUCCUGGGGAUCGCUGCUGCGGCUCUUCCCGUUCGGCAUGCUUGUGGACCGCUGCAUGCGGCUCCUGUGGCUAGGACACCGACUGCGCAUGGUGUUCGGUCAGGGCGGGGAGACCGGAGCCUGCCCCGGUAGACCCGUGCACGACCUUAUGCGCCUGCACAGGCCCAUGGUGGCCUUCACGUGGGAAAACUUGCUUGCCAAUCAGCAAGUCGUGGUGGAGCUGGAGUGCAUUUUCCCCGAACAGUCGACCCUGCCUUCACGUCGUUUGCUGCUCAAAGGAGAGAUGCGCUACCUGCACGAGUCGGACGUCAUACUAUUCCUUGGGGUGCCACUACUGAGUGGCCUGGACGAGCUGCAGAUGGCGGGCCUCUACCUCGAGGAUCUGUGCAUCCACGACAUGACGCGUGACAUUGUGCUGGCCGAGUGGCAACAUGGCGCCAACCUCGAAGUCUCCUACAGAGAGCAAGAGAGCAAGAGCCGGACACUCGAGGAGAACCUGGUGAGGCUGGACGCAUGGCGCCAAAGGGGCGACGAGUUGCUGUACUCGAUGAUACCAAAGUCUGUGGCCGACAGGCUCCGCCGCGGGGCCCAUCCCGUCGACACAUGCGAGACAUUCGACAGCGUGACGGUGCUGUUCAGCGAGCUGGUCAACUUUCCUAUGGCGUGCCGGCAUCUGAGCCCCAUGCAAGUCGUCAGCUGGGUGAACGCAACAUUUUCUCUCUUCGACUUGAUCACGGAUCGCUACCACGUCUUCAAGGUGGAAACUGUUGGCCAAGUUUACAUGCUCGUGAGCGGUGCGCCUGAACGACGAGAAGACCAUGCCGAACAGGUCUGCGCAGCAGCGCUGGAAAUGCUGUUCUCGUUCCAGGGAAAGCGACAACCCUUUGACCAGCAAGGCACGUUCCUGAGGCUCGAACGGAAGGAUUCACAUCAGUGACAGCUGCCAGAAACUCAUUCGGAAGAAAGGCUUCGUUACUGAAAUUCGUGGGAAGAUUGAAGUCAAGGGCAAGGGAAAGAUGCGCACUCACUGGCUCCUGGAAGGCGAUGUGCUGUCCAGCGCCGCCGGCGGUGGCCGCCGACGCAUCUCGCUGGGCGAAAUGGGACCGCUCACACGAGCCAGGACCAAGCGAGCAUCCAAGUGA
rnacentral:misc_RNA from 1 species